rnacentral:rRNA from 1 species
GAUGAACGCUGGCGGCGUGCCUAAUACAUGCAAGUCGAGCGAACGGACGAGAAGCUUGCUUCUCUGAUGUUAGCGGCGGACGGGUGAGUAACACGUGGAUAACCUACCUAUAAGACUGGGAUAACUUCGGGAAACCGUAGCUAAUACCGGAUAAUAUUUUGAACCGCAUGGUUCAAAAGUGAAAGACGGUCUUGCUGUCACUUAUAGAUGGAUCCGCGCUGCAUUAGCUAGUAGGUAAGGUAACGGCUUACCAAGGCAACGAUGCAUAGCCGACCUGAGAGGGUGAUCGGCCACACUGGAACUGAGACACGGUCCAGACUCCUACGGGAGGUAGCAGUAGGGAAUCUUCCGCAAUGGGCGAAAGCCUGACGGAGCAACGCCGCGUGAGUGAUGAAGGUCUUCGGAUCGUAAAACUCUGUUAUUAGGGAAGAACAUAUGUGUAAGUAACUGUGCACAUCUUGACGGUACCUAAUCAGAAAGCCACGGCUAACUACGUG